rnacentral:piRNA from 1 species
UGGAGGAAGUUUCUCAUUAAUGGUUUAGC